rnacentral:misc_RNA from 1 species
UAACCCUCACACUUGCGAUGUCAAAGUCGCAAGAGGUGGACUUGGACCGUGCCGUAAUAGGCUCGUCCUGAAAUGCAUUAGCUUGCGCCUUUUAGAGUGCUCGGCAUGGUGUGAUAAUUAUCUGCGCCGUCGCCUUAGGCCUCUUCUGUGGAGCGCUGCUUACAGCCGUCCCUCGAGGACAACACAUAAAG